AUGAACCGUAACUUUCAUACAGACCAUCAUCCGAUCUCAUGCAUCCCUUACUUAUGCACGUUAUCUUGGGCGUUAGCGCUCUUAAACGCAGGGAUAGGACUUUUUUCUCGAAGUCAUUGGUUCCCAACCUGGGUAUGCUGCAUACCCCCAGAUGUACACACCACAGCAUUUGGGGAGCAUCUAUAAGAAGCAUGCCUCUCCUGCUGUGUUCCACUAUGACAGCUGUGUUCAUCUGAGAAAUAUGAUCUGAAGUGCCAGUCUGCAAACAG